rnacentral:rRNA from 1 species
UACGGAGGGUGCAAGCGUUGUCCGGAUUUAUUGGGUUUAAAGGGUGCGUAGGCGGCCCGUUAAGUCAGUGGUGAAAGCCUCCAGCUCAACUGGAGAACUGCCAUUGAUACUGAUGAGCUUGAGUACAGUUGAGGUGGGCGGAAUGUGUCAUGUAGCGGUGAAAUGCUUAGAUAUGACACAGAACACCGAUUGCGAAGGCAGCUCGCUAAACUGUAACUGACGCUGAGGCACGAAAGCGUGGGGAGCGAACAGGA